AGGGACGGGACGCGGUGCAGUGUUGUUCUCUCCCCCGCCAAUAUUGCACUCGUCCCGGCCUCC
ensembl:miRNA